rnacentral:tRNA from 1 species
CAGGGGAUAGUUUAAUAAAAAUAUUAAUUUUGGAGAUUAAUGAUAAAAGAUAUAUUUUUCCUCUGA